GUCCCUGUCGAUUAGUGGUCAAAUCAUCGUGUUGUGGUAAUUGUGCUGUUCCGCGAAGCCGGGAGCUCGAAUCUCCCCAGGGACA